AUCCCAGAUAAGCUAAAAAGCCUAAAUGGUUAGUGCUUAAAUUGAUUCAUGGGAGGCGAAAAGUAACACUGGAAGUUUCGCUGAUUAACGCCUUUUAUUUUUUAAACACAAGGUGUUUUCUUAGUAACUCGCCAUACAUAU